rnacentral:rRNA from 1 species
CCUACGGGGGGCUGCAGUGGGGAAUAUUGGACAAUGGGGGGAACCCUGAUCCAGCCAUGCCGCGUGUGUGAUGAAGGCCCUCGGGUUGUAAAGCACUUUCAGUGAGGAAGAACGCCUGGUGGUUAAUACCCAUCAGGAAAGACAUCACUCACAGAAGAAGCACCGGCUAACUCCGUGCCAGCAGCCGCGGUAAUACGGAGGGUGCGAGCGUUAAUCGGAAUUACUGGGCGUAAAGCGCGCGUAGGUGGCUUGAUAAGCCGGUUGUGAAAGCCCCGGGCUCAACCUGGGAACGGCAUCCGGAACUGUCAAGCUAGAGUGCAGGAGAGGAAGGUAGAAUUCCCGGUGUAGCGGUGAAAUGCGUAGAGAUCGGGAGGAAUACCAGUGGCGAAGGCGGCCUUCUGGACUGACACUGACACUGAGGUGCGAAAGCGUGGGUAGCAAACAGGAUUAGAUACCCGUGUAGUC